rnacentral:SRP_RNA from 1 species
GCCGGGCGUAGUGGCGGGCGCCUGUAGUCCCAGCUACUCGGGAGGCUGAGGCAGGAGAAUCGCUUGAACCCAAGAGGUGGAGGGUGCAGUGAGCUGAGAUCGUGCCACUGCACUCCAGCCUGGGUGACAGAGCGAGACUCCGUCUCAA